rnacentral:rRNA from 1 species
CGCGGCCUAUCAGCUUGUUGGUGGGGUAAUGGCCUACCAAGGCGACGACGGGUAGCCGGCCUGAGAGGGCGACCGGCCACACUGGGACUGAGACACGGCCCAGACUCCUACGGGAGGCAGCAGUGGGGAAUAUUGCACAAUGGGCGAAAGCCUGAUGCAGCGACGCCGCGUGAGGGAUGACGGCCUUCGGGUUGUAAACCUCUUUCAGCAGGGAAGAAGCGAAAGUGACGGUACCUGCAGAAGAAGCGCCGGCUAACUACGUGCCAGCAGCCGCGGUAAUACGUAGGGCGCAAGCGUUGUCUGGAAUUAUUGGGCGUAAAGAGCUCGUAGGCGGCUUGUCACGUCGGGUGUGAAAGCCCGGGGCUUAACCCCGGGUCUGCAUCCGAUACGGGCAGGCUAGAGUGUGGUAGGGGAGAUCGGAAUUCCUGGUGUAGCGGUGAAAUGCGCAGAUAUCAGGAGGAACACCGGUGGCGAAGGCGGAUCUCUGGGCCAUUACUGACGCUGAGGAGCGAAAGCGUGGGGAGCGAACAGGAUUAGAUACCCUGGUAGUCCACGCCGUAAACGUUGGGAACUAGGUGUUGGCGACAUUCCACGUCGUCGGUGCCGCAGCUAACGCAUUAAGUGCCCCGCCUGGGGAGUACGG